AUCCCAUCAGUUAGUUGGUAGUGUAAGAGACUACCAAGGCAAUGACGGGUAGCGGGUUUGAAGGAUGAUCCGCCACACUGGUACUGAGACACGGACCAGACUCCUACGGGAGGCAGCAGUGAGGAAUAUUGCACAAUGGGCGAAAGCCUGAUGCAGCAACGCCGCGUGGAGGAUGACGCAUUUCGGUGUGUAAACUCCUUUUAUGAGUCAAGAAAAUGACGGUAGCUCAUGAAUAAGCACCGGCUAACUCCGUGCCAGCAGCCGCGGUAAUACGGAGGGUGCAAGCGUUACUCGGAAUCACUGGGCGUAAAGGACGCGUAGGCUGGCUUGUAAGUCAGAUGUGAAAUCCUAUGGCUUAACCAUAGAACUGCAUUUGAAACUACGAGCCUAGAGUAUGGGAGGGGGAGAUGGAAUUAG
rnacentral:rRNA from 1 species